AACCAUUGUCGCGUAGACCGAUGAGGUUACUCCAGAGUGCAUUAUCACGCCGAUGUAGAGCUGUUCUCAAGCCUAAAAAGCUCGAGAAGUAAGGGCCAGGGUAAGACGGGUGCCAGCCGCCGCGGUAAUACCAGCUCCCCGAGUGGUGCUGGCUAUUAUUGGCCUAAAAGCAUCCGUACUGGCCGGGCAAGUCUCCUGGUAAAUCCAACGGCUCAACCGUUGGACUUCCGGAGACACCGCUCGGCUUGAAAUCGGGAGAGGGAGACGGUACUCCCUGGGUAUGGGAAAAUCCUGUGAUCCCGGGGGGACCACCAAUGGCGAAGGCGGUCCCCCAGAACGAUUCCGACAGUGAGGGACGAAACCCGAGGGAGCAAACCGGAUUAGAUACCCCGGUAGUCCCGGGUGUAAACGAUGCAAACUUGGUGUCGCGAGUCCUGCGGGGCCUUCCGGUGCCGGAGGGAAGGUGUUAAGCUUGCCGCUUGGGGAGUACGGACGCAAGACUGAA
rnacentral:rRNA from 1 species